UAACACAUGCAAGUCGAGCGAAUCAAUGGGAGCUUGCUCCCCAUGGUUAAACGGCGGACGGGCGAGUAACACGUGGGCAACCUGCCUGUAAGACUGGGAUAACUUCGGGAAACCGGAGCUAAUACCGGAUAAUCCUUUUCCUCACAUGAGGAAAAGCUGAAAGUCGGUUUCGGCUGACACUUACAGAUGGGCCCGCGGCGCAUUAGCUAGUUGGUGAGGUAACGGCUCACCAAGGCGACGAUGCGUAGCCGACCUGAGAGGGUGAUCGGCCACACUGGGACUGAGACACGGCCCAGACUCCUACAGGAGGCAGCAGUAGGGAAUCUUCCGCAAUGGACGAAAGUCUGACGGAGCAACGCCGCGUGAGCGAAGAAGGCCUCCGGGUCGUAAAGCUCUGUUG
rnacentral:rRNA from 1 species